GCCAGUAUGGUAUAGUGGUUUAGGUGUUGGACUAAGAAUCUGGAGACCAAGGUUCGAAUCCUGGUUCAGCA